AAGGGACAGAAAUCAUCUCUUGUUUUCUUUCUCUUCUUGUGGUCAUCGUGUCUUCCUUCACUUUUGAGAAAAUUAGUUUUUCUUUUUCUCAUCUUCUCUCUUUCCAUUGUCGAUUCAACAGAUUCUUCUAAGUAAUUUCAGGUUUAGAAACACAGAGUUUCAUCGACAUAUCUGAAGAAUCAAUGUCAACGGCGAUGUCGGAGAUGGUGGAUCUGAAGACCCUAGUGUCAACAACGACAUCGGAGGUGGUGGAUCUGAAGACCCUUGUGUCAAUGAUGGCGUCAGAGAUGGUGGUGGAAGUGAAGGACCACCGAAGAUGCUCACACCUUUUACCACCACCACUACGUUUUGAAGCUUCCGCCAGUUCACCACCAAUACAUCUCGACCGCCGCCGUCGUUUUGUUCUCCGUUGCUCCGCUGCCGCAAUAGUACAUCUCCACCGUCGUUUUGUUCUCCGUUCCAAUAGUUGUAUAGAUAUAUAUUUAUUCUACAUAUAAUAUAAUGAAUUUAAGAAACAAAUAAAAACUAUUAUUAAUUUCUUUUU